rfam:Sorghum bicolor cultivar BTx623 chromosome 2, whole genome shotgun sequence.
AGGAUGGAAGCCACUCAGACUAGCCAAGGAGGCUGCCUGCGAGACCACGCGCAGCGGAGGAGCUUGGCCACGCAAUGUGUAGCCUAGCUAGCCUCUGCAGCUGGAGGCCACAGGCAGCUCAUCCUUGGCUACCAAAGCAGAGCUUCCAUCG